rnacentral:rRNA from 1 species
GAUGAACGCUGGCGGCGUGCCUAAUACAUGCAAGUCGAGCGAACAGACGAGGAGCUUGCUCCUCUGACGUUAGCUGCGGACGGGUGAGUAACACGUGGAUAACCUACCUAUAAAACUGGGAUAACUUCGGGAAACCGGAGCUAAUACCGGAUAAUAUAUUGAAUCACAUGAUACAAUAGUGAAAUACGGUUUUGCUAUCACUUAUAGAUUGAUCCGCGCCGCAUUAGCUAGUUGGUAAGGUAACGGCUUACCAAGGCCACGAUGCGUAGCCGACCUGAGAGGGUGAUCGGCCACACUGGAACUGAGACACGGUCCAGACUCCUACGGGAGGCAGCAGUAGGGAAUCUUCCGCAAUGGGCGAAAGCCUGACGGAGCAACGCCGCGUGAGUGAUGAAGGUCUUCGGAUCGUAAAACUCUGUUAUUAGGGAAGAACAAAUGUGUAAGUAACUAUGCACGUCUUGACGGUACCUAAUCAGAAAGCCACGGCUAACUACGUG